GUCCUUUUGAUAAUAAUAUAAGGUCUAACCUGCCCACUGAAAUUUUUAAAGGGCCGCAGUAUUUUAACUGUGCAAAGGUAGCAUAAUAAUUAGUUUCUUAAUUAGAAGCUGGUAUGAAUGGUUGAACGAGAAAUUUACUGUCUCAAUUUAUAAAUUAAAAUUUUAUUUUUAAGUUAAAAAGCUUAAAUUAAUUUAAAAGACGAGAAGACCCUAUAGAGUUUUAUAAUUAUUAAUAUUUUAUAUUUAGAAUUUUUAUUUUUAUUAAUAAUUAUUUUAUUGGGGUGAUAUAUAAAUUUAAUAAACUUUAUAUUUUUAAAAACAUAAAUUAAUGAUAAAUUGAUCCAUAUAAAUGAUUAAAAGAAAAAAUUACCUUAGGGAUAACAGCGUAAUUUUUUUUUAGAGUUCUAAUCGAAAAAAAAGAUUGCGACCUCGAUGUUGGAUUAAAAUUAAUUUUUGGUGUAGAAGCUAAAAUAUUAGGUCUGUUCGACCUUUAAAAUUUUACAUGAUCUGAGUUUAAACCGGCGUGAGCCAGGUUGGUUUCUAUCUUUAAAUAAAUUAAAUAUUUUAGUACGAAAGGACCAAAUAUUUUUAAAAUUUAAUUUUUUUUGAAUA
rnacentral:rRNA from 1 species